UACGGAGGGUGCAAGCGUUAUCCGGAUUUACUGGGUUUAAAGGGUGCGUAGGUGGAUAAGUAAGUCAGUGGUGAAAUCUCCGGGCUUAACCCGGAAACUGCCAUUGAUACUAUUUGUCUUGAAUACUUUGGAGGUAAGCGGAAUAUGUAGUGUAGCGGUGAAAUGCUUAGAGAUUACAUGGAAUACCAAUUGCGAAGGCAGGUUACUACUAAUGGAUUGACGCUGAUGGACGAAAGCGUGGGUAGCGAACAGG
rnacentral:rRNA from 1 species